UGGCGGACGGGUGAGUAACGCGUGAGUAACCUGCCUUCAAGAGGGGGAUAACAUUCUGAAAAGAAUGCUAAUACCGCAUGACAUAUCGGAACCACAUGGUUUUGAUAUCAAAGAUUUUAUCGCUUGAAGAUGGACUCGCGUCCGAUUAGUUAGUUGGUGAGGUAACGGCUCACCAAGACCGCGAUCGGUAGCCGGACUGAGAGGUUGAACGGCCACAUUGGGACUGAGACACGGCCCAGACUCCUACGGGAGGCAGCAGUGGGGGAUAUUGCGCAAUGGGGGCAACCCUGACGCAGCAACGCCGCGUGAAGGAUGAAGGUUUUCGGAUUGUAAACUUCUUUUAUUAAGGACGAAAAUUGACGGUACUUAAUGAAUAAGCUCCGGCUAACUACGUGCCAGCAGCCGCGGUAAUACGUAGGGAGCAAGCGUUGUCCGGAUUUACUGGGUGUAAAGGGUGCGUAGGCGGCUUUGCAAGUCAGAUGUGAAAUCUAUGGGCUCAACCCAUAAACUGCAUUUGAAACUGUAGAGCUUGAGUGAAGUANAGGCAGGCGGAAUUCCCCGUGUAGCGGUGAAAUGCGUAGAGAUGGGGAAGGA
rnacentral:rRNA from 1 species